GCCUGUGGUGACCCUACAUUUUCCUAUACCUUUUAAAGAAUGGGAAACCUCACAGUAGAGCACUAUCUGCUACAUCGCUGCUAUUGAAGAGUGAAUGGUCAAAAUUUUGCCUAAGUCACAGGAACAUCUUGUAUGGUCGGUUAUUCACUGCAGCCAACAAAGGACUACUUACGCAUUUCCUCAUGUUCCGCCUCUUCUGGUGCUCGCUGGUUUGUUUCUCGAAGCGUGGCAUGACCAGCACUGAGACAUGUUGAGGAAGCCAAGCUCACUAUUUCCCUGGCUGCAGGACACAGGAGCUUGGGGAUGCUUCACCCACAUGGGAUAUGAUGUCCAGAUGACUGUGGAGAGAAGCCAGAAAGCAAGCAGGGCUGUCUGUCUCCUCUUUCUGAAAGUGAGCUUCUUGCAACAUGGACUGAGAUGUGUUAUCCAAAAGGUGAGAAGAAGCUGUGCCCAGCCACUGCCCAGGUGGCACCUGCUGUAUGGCAGCAUGGAGAUUGCCAGUCCCACAGGGGAUGCCAGUCUCAUGGAGGAUAUGAGUCACACAAAGCAGGUUUGGAGAAGCCUUGCCCUCUGGCUACCAAAGCAAGGUAACCCUGCCACAACACCACAGCAGGUGUGCAACAGAUGCAUGGAAGAGUCAGAAAAUUGGUACCUUUUGCAGACAGCUGUUUUUAUGUCAAAACCAUGUAAAAUGAAGAUAUUUGAUCCUUCUGACUUCAUAGCCACUGUUAAACAUCACUGCUGUAGCUGCCUGUCCAUCCAAGUACCCCAUUUUUUACAAAUCAGAGAUUGGCUUUAGGACAUGAUUACUCUGGCCCAACUUGUGCAAUUUUUCAAGAACAUCUGAAUAAAAAGAAUAAUUGCCUUAUUACUUAUAAACUCCAAAAGUGGUGAUGAUGCUAAGGAAGCCUGGGACAAAAAAACAGGACACUGUUCCUCUUGGGACCCUGUGAUGACUGAUGCAAAACUCCCCAUAACAACUAAGCAACUUUCUGUGUGAGAAGAUAUUAGAUUAUGGUGACAUUGACCCGUGUUUGUCUGCAUUUGUGAGCGCCUCUUCUGUGCAUGCUCUUGCCUCUUCCUUGGCUUAUGUGAGCUGGGUUGGUGCAACCAUCUGGAUCCAGGCAAAGACAGAGCCCUUCUGAAGUCCCAGAAGAUGUGCUUGUGCCACCCCCUUUGCCAAUAGAAGUGUGAGGGGGAGGAGAUCACUUCCCUUGGAGAAGUCAUGGCAUUUAGCUGGAGUCAGCAUGGUUUUCCAUCAGCUGAUCAGUUUGCAAAGGGAAUGCCUGGCUACAAGCAAGUCACACAGAGCAGCCAAAACAAGAUGGGGAAAUGACAGACAGAGCUUGGUGGGGCGAGCCUUGCCCUUUGAGCUGCCUUCCUGUGCCUGCCCUCCUGCAGAGACUCUUUCCUUGCAGCCUCCUCCUGUUCCCUGGCUCCGAGAGCCUGCAGAAGUCCAGCCUACAUUCGCCACAUGCCGUGGAAAAAUGAGUCAGUCAUUAAGGCUUUUAACAAUGAUGGAAGCACAACUGACACACCUGUGUCUAGUGCGUGGGAUAGGAGCAGCAGAAAAAUGUUGUACAAGUGACUGAUGUGCCAAAUUUCAUUUCACUUGUUGCAAAGAGAAAUUAUGUCCAUUAUCGUUGAGCAGUAGGCAAUUUUUAAUAGGUUAUUUUGUUAGCUGCAAUUUUAUAGUAAUCUGUUCCACAAAUGAACCAGUCUGCAUUCUUACAGGAGAAAAAAAAUUUUUUUUUAGAAAGACUAAGAUAAAUGAGGCAUGUUUAGCUAUUCUGGUUCAUAGAAUUGAUUUCUCUGUCUUUCAGGAAAGAUGGGCAUUUGAUAGGAAACUUCUGUCAUUUUUUCCCUCAGCUUUGUAGGGGAUGAAUUUGCCUCUUAUGUAAUUAUUCCCAUGUACCAAAGUUAGUGGCUGCUGGUCUUACAAUUGCAGAAUGAAGAUAGAUGAUCUUGAGAGUGAUUUGGGUGAGGAAGGAAAGGCCUGCUCAUCUUUGAGUCAACUAGAUCCAGGUGCUGGAUUUUGCAUGCUGUGGGGUUUGCCUGUAUUUUGUUUGCUUGUUUUCAAGAAGUUUACAGUGCCUCUGUAUCCUUCAUUCUCAGUGAAGAUCUGGGGCUUUUCUGGUAUGUAAACAUUCAUGGAUUAUUGUGCUUCAAGGUAUGAAUUAUUCUCAUAAAUGACAGCUAGACUCUCUCAGCCUAAGAAAGACAUCUUCUUCCACUCGGUUUGGAGUCACUCUGUUAAGUGCAGGACCCUCAGGCUGGGUUUGCAGCCCUCCCUGCUGCUUCCACCUGUUUGUGUCAUCUUCCACCAGAAAAAAUUGCUCAUUUUAGCAGAUAGAGACCCAGUCACAAUAUAUAUGGACUGAAAAGUGUGAGAACCAGAGGGGUUUUUUUCAUACCACUUUCCCCUUGUCCCUGGCUGUGGUUGUGGGUGACCCAGUGAUGCAUUGAAGGAUCUCAACUGACAGCACUAAAAACAACCAUUAUAGACCUACUUUCUUACUGUGCUGAGAAAGAAAGACCUGCAGGGUACCCAGGGCAUCACCUGCUGCCCUGGCCAGAGCCCUGCCCAAAAACCUCUCCCCUUGCCCCUCCCUUACUGCUGAUUUGCAUAGAAGGAGAUAGCACUAUGAGCUGUUCAUGUGUUACCUCAAAUCCAAGGGAGGCAUUGGGAAGUAUACAGCAUACAUAUACUAUAAUUAUUAUAAAUAUGCUAAAUAAUUAAUUUGGGAAGUAUAUAGCAUAUAAUUCCCUGUAACAGUUCUCUGCCAUCCAGGAAAGGAUGGUUUCUGGAGUGCAUCCUGGUUGCUUAAAGAGAGCAGAGAAUUUGUAGCUGGAAUUGCUCAGGGCAUACAAAGGCUCUGGCAGACUGAAAGCAAAACCUCUCUGCAGGAAACAUUUGGCAUCUCUUCUCCCCAGAAGCCCAUAUACAGUGCAUAAGGGGGCUCUGCAAAUACUCCCAGCAUAUUCAACAGGAGCAGUCUAUAGCUGUUUGCACUACAUCUAACCAAGGCAUCUGUUCAUCUUUUUGUCAUUCUUCUUUGUCUUGUAUCACAGAAAAGCACAUCAAGAAUUAAGAUACAAUGAUAGAUUUCACUGUGGUUUUUUUUUCUUUUUCUUUUUUUAGCAGCUAAUUUAGAUAUUUAGAUUUAUAACACCAAGUAGGGAACAUUUUAUGGGACCUCUGACUUAAAACAUUGGCAACACAUCAUUGAAGAAGUCUGCCUUUCCUUUUCAAAAAAACAUGGAAAUAUCAAGCUGGAACAGCCUGAGAUGGUCAGCCAGCUGUUUGCUAUUUGAAUCCCAUGAAAACUCAAAUACAGCUGCAGGUUCAACUUUGUUCUGGUCAAAUAUGGCAGUCCUGGAACGUGCUCCUUUACACUGGGGCAUGAAUAGUGUCAAAAUUAAUGCUAUUCUCUUACAGUAUGGAUUAAAAGCUGUUUGACAGCUCCCUAAAGGCAUGAGUGAAUGAGGAAUUAUUCAGGAGUGGAUUUCUCUCUAAGGAGGUCCCACAAAGAUCAAUUACUGACUCUUUUUUUUUUUUUUUUUCUACUGAAUAUUUUAAUCAGUGAUUUGGGGAAAGAACCAAAAAAAAAAUCCACAAAUAGGAAACUUGCAGGUGGGGAAAAAAAUCAUGCACUACUUUGAGCAGAAGAAACCCAAGGGCAUUUUAACACAGCCAAAUAUGAAAUUGAAAACCUGUAACUGCAGAGUAUAGGUUGUAUUUACAGAACUCUAUCUUGCAGGUAUAUUGAGAUAUCCUGGAAAUGACCUGAGCAUUUAAAAUAUGCCCACUGCUAUUCAAUAGCUCAUGCUGCACCAGCAGGUCUGAACAAGCCUUGAUCAGAGGCUGUAGAAUCAAGACAGGCUCUAGGAAGAGGAGCAGAAGGGGGAGGAGGAGGAGGAGGAUACAUCCAUCAUACCUGCAUCAAAUAUGAUUAUUGCCACAGUGGACUAUCCAUUACUUGUUACCUGGUCAAGCAGGACAUUGAGAAUAUGAGGAGUGUUCAAGAAAAAAGCCAAAAGACAAGGAAUAUGAUCACAAAAAUAUGCUAAAAAAUUAAAUAAUCCAGAAACCCUAUCAGUUUUACUUAAGCAAAAGGAAGAAAUACGAUCGCAGUCUACAAUUAGUAAAGUAAGGAACAGAAGUUUGAAGGCUCUUUGUUCUGCAAAGAAAAGUGUAACAGCAGGCAGUGCCAGGUGUUGAAAACAGAAAACUUCAGAUGAGAAACAUGCCACAAAUUAAGUAUGUGAGUUCUCUGAGUUUGCUUAGCUUACUGGUUUCUAGGGUACUGGAAAUUUUAAAAUUAAUUUAAUGUCUUCUGGAAUAGAUGCUCUUGCUCCAAUUAAUUUGAAGAAAGCUUAUCAUCUGCCAUAUGCAGACAGUUAGAGAAAUGGUCACUCACAGUUCCCCCUGGACUUCUGAGGAUAAACCCCAAGUUAUUACCAAUGCUCGAUACUUAUUUGAUGCAGCACAGAGCUCUGUCACCUAUAUGUGAGAGCUGACACAACCAUGUCCUAGUGCAAGAAGGGCUGGCUUGCUUGUUUGCUUGAGCUGAGACACAUAAAUUCUGCUUACAGCCUAUUCUGGGCACCAGUUCCAUGGGCAGCGUCCUCGGCGAGGGGGCUCAGGCUUCUUGUGCUCCCACUGCUGCUGCCUGGGAGCUAGAGCAGGGCAGGCUGUCUGUGGCUGCUUGUGUCUCCUUGCCAGGGACCAGGGAGACACCCCACGCUUCAUAUGAUCCUACCAGGAUUUGUGAAUAAUAAAGGCUCACUUUGUAGAGAACGGCCUCAAUGUUCUCCCAAAUGCCGGAAUUAAUUCUAGCACCAUCCAUGCGGCUCUUAGCAAAGAGAACAAAAGGUCUUGGAAAAGCUCUCGAGCUAGUUCAGUGCAAAAAACAACACAUUAAUGUAUAAGAAAGGAUGAGGCAGGAAGAUUUUUGUGGUUAAAUCAGUUGGUAACAUCGACAUCCUGCACAAACAGCAUUGUUGGUUUGUUUUUGGGGGUUUUUUUUGUGCUCCUUUUCUUUUUUGGGAGUCCUGUAUCCUUGGUCAGAAGGAAAUGCCAUCCUGGGGUGAGACUACUGGAAGCAGAAAAUGGGUUUUAUUCAUACUGAGAAUCCCAAACCAUGUCAGUGCUAACAAACUGGAAAGAAAAAAAAAAAAAAAAAGAAAUGAGGAAGCUGGUAUAUGUGUAAGGCACACUGUGAAUAAAACUAAUUCCCACUCUGAACAACAGUGGAUCUCACAAAAGCCUCUCUCCUUUGAACAGGAAAGCCUGAAUGAACUAAGAUAUUGUGCCUCUCAUAUAACCUUUUUGUGUGAAUGAAUCAUAGUUCUGGUACAGAAAGUUAAAAAGAGAUCUUUUAAAAAAACUUAUAGUGAGUUAACCAUAAAAUUUCCACUUAAAUCAUGCAAUAAGUUCUUCUUAUUAAUCUUCACAUUUCAAAUUGACCAGUACUAUUCCCUCUUGUUUUGGUCUCAUUUUAUUUCCUGUGUCAAGCCAAAAACCUGGAAUUCGAGAGUUUCUUUAAUGUAUGCUGUGUGUUGAUAUUUGCAUAACAGUAACUUUCAGGAAGGCACUUAUUUUCCACAAACUGCACAGCUUCCUCACACGGUAUGAAAAUCUUGAUUGGAUUUAUUUCCCAUUAAAAAUUCUGUCCCUUAGGCACACAACCCUGCAGAUAGAUCAGCAAACCUUCAUUUUCAUUAACAGUCCCAUUGAGGUAAGCACAGCAACCAAAGGGUGUUGGGUGUAAGCACACACAAACCCAGGCUCUCUUGUGUGAUUAUCCAUUCAUAGCUCAGACAGAUGAAGGAUGGGGGCUAGAACGAGGGGGAUGCCCCAUGACAGCUGUCUGACACAGCUCUCAGCUGUGAACCUGGGCUCUGUUUGAGAAAUGACCCUGUGAAUGGUCCAACAAUGCUCAAAAUAUUGAUGUCCAGUGUCAUGUUUGACCUGCACAGUGUGCAAAACUUGGUUAUAUUCAUUGUGGACAAAACGGGUUUUUCCCAAACAUUAAUAUUCUUCACUAGUAAGUGAUAAUUAAUAGAUAGUGCUAAUCUACUACUGAGAAAUUAUUCUUCAUUUCAUGUUGAUUAAAUUAUAGGACUUCCAGAAAUAUAUAUAGUAUUAUAUAAUGUUAUUAUAUAUAAUAUAUAAGUUAUUAAUAAAUCCAACUGAGAAAAAAUAAUUAAAUCAUCAUUACACUCUUAUCACAGGUCCAAAAUACAGACUUCACUGAAAUCUAAAGAGAAAUUAUUAUCUACACAGGGAGAACUACCAGUGAAGUUAGAGCAUGGUUCAUUGCUUCUGUUAACUGAAGAGUUUAAGGCAGAUAAUUUACUUCACAACUGGCAUAUUAGGUUGCUCAAGCUAAGCCAUUGCUCGGUCUUGCACCAUUUUUGUUAACAGACGUCUGUAGAAGAAAUGUUUAAUCUCCUGAAGUUAACAGUAAAACUCUCACUGAAAUACCUUCAAAUGAGGUGCAGAUUUUCCAAACCUAUUUGCAUUUUGGAACUGGAAAAUCAUUGUUUGCAUCAAACCUUCUCCCAAUGCAGAGGCACCACCAGCAGCGCUCUAGGGUACUUCCCACUGUUCCAUGAACAAGACAACUUACUUUUGUCCCGCCAGCAGCUUGUGACAAUCAUCAUCAUCAUCUUCUCAAGCAUGGUGUGCCAAGGUUCAUUUCCCUUCCCCACACCACAAAUCAAGUGUGCUGGCCACGUGGCAGCAGCUCUCUGGCUACAGAGAGCAGCACACAACUUUCCCAGGCAUCAUCCUGGAAAAGGCUGUGAGAAGAUCAGAGAUAAGAAUGACGAACAAUUCUUAUCUUCACUUGCUGCACCUGUUGUUGUGAACAUGUGGAAUGUAUUAUGGAGUUUUGUUUACCAAAGGGUGGUUUCUUGAUGGCCAAUGGUGAUGGUGUUUGGACUGAAGGACCAAUUGGUUCCACCUGUAUCGUGACUGUCUGUAAGGGCGAUGGGUUUCUUAAUAAGUACAAUAGAAUAAAAUGAUUGAUCAGCCUUCUGAGAAGCAUAGAGUCAAUGCUAAUUAUUGCCCAGCCAGGGGCACACUGCUGCGACACACUGGCCAUGCUCUGCAGAAGCCACAGAUGCAAACUCUCUGGGAAGAAGGAUGCCCUGUCACCCUGCCAGCUCUAAUGUGCCUCUCUGUGACGCACUGAGUAUGUACCACAAGCUCUUUGAAGUCUGCCUGCGUGCCGACUUUGGCCAUCUUCCCUCAGUCUUUUGGUAUAAAAUAUACAGUGCAAUAUCUUGAAUCUUUUUCUGUGCCUGUUCCUCAUUAGGCAAACCACAUAUUAUCAUAGCAAGCAACCCUCCCAGCCAUAAUUAUUCAAGCCAUUAGGUCUUUUUCAGCCUUCAUUACUCAGUCACACAGAUUUUCCUUAUGACUACAUUUGUUACUCUUAUUUUGACACAUAAAGACAUGCAGUAUGUGAUGAUGACUCAGAUGUCGUUAUCCUCAAAAUGAUUGUCUUUAAAUACAUGGAGUCUUUCAGCGUCCAUAUACAGUCCUCACUCUGCAAUUCACUUCCUGCAAUAAUUUUUGCAUGCUUGUCUUUCCAUUUCACAUAUAUAAAUUUCUUGUAUUAAAGCUGAACAAAGUUAAUAAUCCUGAAAAUGUUCAAAAUCAAAAAGCAUUAUAGUUUUAAAGCAGUAAAAAUGUUAAAUAACCCUUUUGAAAGUGUGUAUUAAUCUCUAUUUGCAUAGCCUCUGAACUUUAACACUCCUUUAUUUUCAUUAGAGCAAAAUUGGCUCCUAACCAUAAACCCAAAAAUAAGGUGAUUAUAUAAUGUACCUAAAGACUCCUGGCAUUUAAAUGAGUUGGGCUACCAUAGCUUUUUUUCUCACAAUUUAUGCAGGUUUGCUUCUAUGCCCAUGCCCAUCUCAUCUCAUAUUAAUGCAGCAGCAUCCAGAGGGAAGAAGUUGGGACUGAAAUGCAGGUGCCUGUCCUGUCCCACACCCUGCUCAAACACAGAAUCCAGAGGUACUUGCCCCAAAACUUUUCAGGCCAAAAGGGCAGGAGAAGCCGAGUGAAGGAGCAGAGGCUCAGAGGAGCUGCAGCAGCUCCUCUGACAUGCUGAAAAGCCCAGUGCUAUGGUCAGGUUUAAGAUGCCUUGUUCCCUUCUACUCCAGUGCAAACCAGGCUUGAUUUCACUAAGAUUCAUCCUAUGAAGCUCCUAGUUCAGGGCAGAGUGGAAAUUAUAGUUUCUUUGGCUUAGACUGCUGGGGGUUUUGCUUCUUCGUGGUCUUGUCAUUCUUGCUCUUCUUUUUCUGUUCUAAUGAGAGCAAGUGUUCUCCCCUUUCCUUUCUCCUUGUUUGCAUGCAUUUCUUUCCCUCUCAUUUAACACUGAAAAAAAAAAAAAAAACAAAAAACAAAAAACCAAAAAAACAAACCAAAGAAAAGCCUUUCCUAUUUAAAGUGCAAGAAAGGCUUCUGAACAAUUACUUGUACAAGGAAGUCAGUUCUCCUUUUCUCCUUUUCAUCUUCCUGUGAGUUUCACCAUGCUCCUAGAUGCCUGAUGAUGUCCUUUUUCCUUUUUUUCAUGGUGUUCAUUGGCAUCCCCCAUGAGGCAACCUGCUGCCAUUCUGACCACGUCCCUAAGCUGUGCCUGCCCUUGCAAUCAUGAGCUUCUUCUAUCAGGUCUGUUGUCACCCUGUGCUGUCCCAGAACUCAGAAGUCCUUUUCAUCUUUUUUUUAACAACUCUGACUUCAGUGAGCUACAGUUGGAAAGAGAUGGCCUGGUGCCCAGGAGCAGUAUAACAGCGUUUGAGCAGGAGCUUAGCAAAGGUCCUACUCAGCAAGGUUACUCUCAUAUUCUGUCUCAGAUAGAUGGAGAAGGCUGAACAUUUCCUGGGCUCAUGCCUUCCCACCUGCCCUCCUUACUUAGGGCAGAGCUGCUACCAGGAGCCUCUCAGUUUUCCAAAACCUUUUUACUCUGCCUCUGUGAGUCCACCUUUCAGAGUCUGCUUUUAAGAUUCAAAACAAAUGUUUAAAUUUGUGUUAACGAUGUCUCUUAUUAUGCUUCCAGCACUAAUACUUCAUACUUUACCCUCCUUACCAUCUUCACUACUCACUGUCCCAUACUGAGUAGGCAGUGUUCUGAUUUUAAAGAGAGAAAACUUUUAAGUGUGCGGAGCACUUUGUCUUUCCUUUAUGACAUUGCAAAGUGCCAUGGUCACAGAUAUUUAGAUAUGAAAAGACUCAAUUUAUAUUAAGCAAAUGACACUACUGGGCUGUCCCUGUUUUUACUCCUACUAAUUUUAGUUCAAAGUAUUUUUCAGUACAGUACCUCUGCAAAAUUAAAGGGUUCCACUUGGUGACUGGCACUUAGGGGAGAAAAGAGAAAAAUGGCAGCAAACCUUGUCUUUCAGACAGACUUAAAAGCUGCCAUAAUUAUUUCCACGUCUUUGUACUCCUGAAAAUUACUAUUUUAACCUAAAACUUAGAAGUAUGAAGAGACAAAUUAAGUAUUUGCCUUGAGGUCCAUUCUGGAAGUGGAGAAGAGGCAUUUCAGACCCGUUUCUGAGCCCACAGCGUGAUAGCACAGCCCAAGGAAUGGGGGUCAGUUUUGCCCAGAGAUGGCUAUUCCCAGAUGGAAAUGCCCUUUUAUAUGUGUCCAGCUCAUCCAGGAUGGUGUGCUGGCCAGCUGGCACAGGCACUUUUAAUGCUGGUACCUCCAAAACCAGUUUUCUUGAAGGAAGGGUCUCUUUAGGUACAUGCAAUGAUGUACCUAGAUAUGCAUUCAGAGCACAGUCCAAUCUACACACAUUUGAUUUAGCCAACGCUCUCUAUGACUUUGUGUGCUCAAAAGAAAAUGUUGUUGUAUUAAAAAAAAAAAAAAAGUCUGUAAUACUUCAAGAAACUCACAGCCCUUAAAAUUAGAUUUGCCUGAAUAGGCAGCAGCCAGAAAAAAACUCCCUUGUUUCCUCUUUUGUCCUUGCCUGGCCUCUUCCAUCUUCUCUGCUCUUUUUGUCUGGGCCCUUCCUGAAGCUUUUCUGAAUCAUGUGUUAUUGCAUUUGACAUUUUUGGUCUUGGGCUGCGUCACUGAUCACACAGAGAGGAAUUCAACAGCCUGGCUUCCAGGCUAGGCUGCAGUUACCUGAGGUGACUGCUGUACCCUGAAUCAAGCACUUCUCUGUUUUCUCCUGUGUUUGAACUACAAUCCCAAACAAGAACCUUGAACACAUAAUUUAUCAUCAUACAACCAGCAAUACGCUUCAGCAUCUCAUCUGAAUUUGUACUUUGGCCCUGCAGUUCACUUCUAGGUGCUUUCAAGAGGUUCUUGCAUAUUUCUGUGGUGUGCAGGAGUGUUUGACGAUUUAUGGUUUCUCAGUGGCAUUUUCAUAAAAUGAUUGCUAAAAAUUAGGUGUUGGCAUUUCUACUGCAAUAAAAACUCGGGUGAGUUUUUCUUGUGUGUGGAAUGAUUUAUCUCGCUUUUUCUUUUGAAACCCUGAUUUACAGUUAAAAUGGGGAUCACAUCAGAAGUUGGUUAGCCAGAAGCAAGCCUCAUGUAGAUUCUUUUUUUCCUUAUUUCUAGCUCUGUUACAGCCACUAUUGUCUUUUUAAACAACCUGGGUACAGACAGAUUUAAUAUUCUGACAGCUCAGAGUAUAUCUCAAGCAGCAAGGAAAAUGCCAUUUGUGGUUUCGGUUUUAAUAUUUAUUUGGGGGUGUAUUGAUUAGAAAAUCUAUGGUUAAAGUCUGUAGGGCUUUCCUGUGGUUUGACAUUGGACUGUCACUUUAGAUUUCCUGAGAAAUCUAUAGUAUUUAUUUAGUGGCUUGAUGCUAUUUAUCCUGCAAAGAAUUUGGUACAAAGUGGGCUAAGAGGAAAGACAAUUGUCAUUCUAUUUGGCUUCAAGUUUGCAGUGUUACAGUCUAAGAAUCAUAUAUUUUCUAUAAUUUUCUUGAGAGUCUUUUGAACUCAGCAUGGAUAUUUUUUUCUGACAUAAAGUUCUUAAAACUGGGCUUUCAAAGAAUGCAUCAGUUUAAUGCUAUUCUUCAACAUAUAGUGAGUAUUGCAAGGAACAUCAACAUCAGAAAAAUUGCUGCACUUAUUUCAACAUGCUAACAGCUGGGAUUUUGCUUACUGCCAGAAUUAGACCUUUGUUAGUGUUGUGCAUCUACAGGUGCGAAGGAUUUACAAAGAAGGGGGAAUUGUCAGACCAGUGAAUCAAUCUGAGUCAUACAGAAGAACAAUCUUUCAGUGUCACCGACAAAUUCAGCUGCUCACUCCAUGAAGCUGAAAUCCAUGACAUAGUUCAUUUUUCAGCUGUUGAGCACAUUCACAUAAUGUAGCUCAUUCACUGUGUGUUGCCUACUUCACGUAUGAAUGUGCAUUCACUUGAAAAGCCCAUGAAUACCCUUAGGUUUACAACACAGAUAUUGUAGUGUGGUACAUUCAGCUUAUCUGCAUAGCUCUAGGACUCGUGUGGCAGCAUGAAUUAAUCAGAAAUAGAAUGGUUUCCAACUUGAAAAGAUACCAAAAUGCUAUUAA